rnacentral:rRNA from 1 species
CGCCUUGCCAGCCCGCUCAGAACUUAAAGGAAGUUGACGGGGCCCGCACAAGCGGUGGAGUAUGUGGUUAAUUCGAUGCAACGCGAAGAACCUUACCUGGUCUUGACAUCCCGGAGACCCUUAGGAAACUAGGGGGUGCUUCCAUCUGGAAGAAUCUGGAGACAGGUGCUGCAUGGCUGUCGUCAGCUCGUGUCGUGAGAUGUUGGGUUAAGUCCCGCAACGAGCGCAACCCUUGCCUUUAGUUGCCAGCAGUUCGGCUGGGCACUCUAAAGGGACUGCCGGUGUUAAACCGGAGGAAGGUGGGGAUGACGUCAAGUCCUCAUGGCCUUUAUGGCCAGGGCUACACACGUACUACAAUGGCCGAUACAAAGGGCAGCGACACUGCGAGGUGAAGCCAAUCCCGUAAAAUCGGUCUCAGUCCGGAUUGGAGUCUGCAACUCGACUCCAUGAAGUUGGAAUCGCUAGUAAUCGUGGAUCAGCAUGCCACGGUGAAUACGUUCCCGGGCCUU